UCCGGCGGCUGCAGCGCGAGGACGCUCCCGGCCUGAAGUGACCCCGGCGGAGGGCGGGCUCGAGCCGUCCUUCAACGGGCCGCACGCCCGAGCGCGGGACACCGGGCGGAGGAGGAUGGGUCGGCAGCUCGCGGCCGGGGCUCCCCGAUCCCUGCCGGCUGGCUUCAUCCCCGCUGCAACCUGGGGAGGCAGCCUUCCCCCCAUAACGCAGCCUCGUGGGCCACUUGGUGUGCCUCCCUUGAGGUGGGCCCAUGCAGUUUCCUUUGUGUAGUUCCUUGUCACACAGCUUAGAUGCUGUCACCCUGGGACCUCAAGUGCCUUCCUCUGUCUUCUGACACCAGCUCUCUGCUAUGGCCUGGGAAAGCAGUAGAAGAUGGCCCAGGUCCUUGGGCCCCUGCACCACGUGGGAGACCCGGAAGAAGCUCCUGGCUUCAGCUUAGCUCAGCUCAGCCAUCGUGGCCAUUUGGGGAGUGAACCAGUGGAUGCCGUGGAUGAAAGAUCUCUCUCUCUCUGCCUCUACCUCUCUCUGUAACUGACUUUCAAAUCAAUAAAAUAAAUCUAAAAAAAAUCUCACAUCCACUGAUUCACUUCCCAAAUAGCCAAAGCAGCCAGGACUUGGACCAGGCCCAAGCCAGGAGCCAGGAAUUCCAUAUGGGUCUAGUAUCCCAUGUGGGUGGCAAGGGCCCAACUACUUGGACUGUAUUGUGUUACCUUCCCAAGUGCAUUAGCGUGGAGCUGGAUCCUGGAUCAAAAGUGCAGCUAGGACUUGAACCCACGCUCUGACAUGGAAACCAGCAUCACAAACCAUGGCUUGACUAGCUGCACCACAGCAUCGGCCUCAUCAGUUUAUCUUGUGUCAUCCUCAUCACUCGCCUGUUUCAGAACACUUCGUCCUCCCCAGUGAGGUCCCUCAGCCUGUUCACUGAGAAUCUCUUUCCCCAGUCUAAUGUCAGUAUUGGUUUUUUUUGGUCUGAAAUUGUUUUUUAGAUUUACUUAUUUGAGAGACAGAGAUCUUUCAUCUGCUGGUUCACUCCCCAAAUGGCCACAACAGCAUGGGCUGAGUCAGGCUGAACCAGGAACUCUGUCCAGGUACCCAUGCAGGGGGCAGGGGCCUAUGUGCUUAGACCCCCCCCCCCCCCACUGCUUUCCCAGGUGUAUUGAUCAGAAGUGGAACCAGGAUCUGAACUGGUGCUCAUAUGAGAGGCUGGCAUUGCAGGCAGUGGCUUAAUCUGCUGACCAAAACACAUCCCUUGUUCUGAACAUUUUAUAUCAGUUAACCAAGCAGUGUGAGCUCUUGGUCCCUGCCCUCUGGCCCUGUUACUUAAUUCAGGAUCCUUACCCAAACCUUGUUUUAUCUGGUCGGAUUGAACAGUGUUUUCUAUUCUGGAGUAUCUGGUCUGAGAAGUGCUUCCUUCCAAGGUAAGCACUGAGGCAAAACAGCCGCUGAGCUCUGCUUCCUGGUCCUCUUCCUGUGGGCCCCUUGGAGUGGAGACUGCAGUCCAGGAGGAGUCCGCCUAGACUUGCCGUACCUCACUCAUCCCCAUUCUCUGGACAAGGCUCGUGCCCCGGCUUGUUUGUGUUUAACACUGAUGAACUCUCCCCCCCACCUUCCUUUGCUUCCUUCUUCCCUCCCCCCCAUUCCUUUCUUUCUCUGUUUCCUUUCUUUUCUUCCUCCUCUCAUUCUUUCCUCACUCCCCAUUUCUUCCUUCCUCCAUUCUCUCUUCCUCCCUCCCUUUCUCUUUUCUUCUCCUUUCCUCCUCUCCUCCUUCUCUCCCUCCAUUUCUUUCACUUCUCUUUGUUCCUUCGUUCCUCUCUCCCUCCAUUCUGCCUCUCUCCCUCUCUGUCUCCCCUUCCUUCCUUCCUUCCUUCACUCCCCAACUGCAUGCAACAACCAGGGCUGGGCAAGGCUGAACCCAGGGGGCAGCAGCUCAAUCCAGAUCUUCCAUGGGGGUGGCAGGGACCCAAGUACCCAAGUACUUGAGCCAUCACCUGCUGCCUCCCUGAACAUAGCAGGAAGCUAAAAUCAGAAGCAGAACUGGCACUGAAACCCAGAUUCUCCAGUAUGGGAUCUGGGCAUUCCAAGCAGCAAUUUUUUUUUUUUUUUGACAGGCAGAGUUAGACAGUGAGAGAGAUAGAGACAGAGAGAAAGGACUUCCUUCCAUUGGUUCACCCCCCAAAUGGCUGCGCCGAUCCGAAGCCAGGAGCCAGGUGCUUCCUUCUGGUCUCCCAUGUGGGUGCAGGGCCCAAGGACUUGGGCCAUCCUCCACUGCACUCCCGGGCCACAGCAGAGAGCUGGCCUGGAAGAGGGGCAACUGGGACAGAACCAGCGCCCCGACCGGGACUAGAACCUGGAGUGCCGGCGCCGCAGGUAGAGGAUUAGCCUAGUGAGCCGCGGCGCCGGCCCUCCAAGCAGCAUUUUAACCAUUGUGCCAAACAUCCACCUCAACUCUUUUUUUUUUUUUUAAGAUUUAUUUAUAUAUUUGAAAGUCAGAGUUACACAGAGAGGAGAGACAGAGAGGUCUUCCAUCGAUGUUUCACUCUCCAAAUGGCUGUAAUGGCCAGAGCUGCGCCGAUCCGAAGCCAGGUGCCCGGAGCUUCUUCCACAUCUCCCACGUGGGUGCAGGGUUCCAAGGACUUGGGCCAUCUUCUACUGUUUUCCUAGGCUAUAGCAGAGAGCUGGAUAGGAAGUGGAGCAGCUGGGACUUGAACCCACGCCCAGUAUGGAUGCCAGCGCUUCAGGUUAGUGCGUUAACCCGCUGUGCCACAGGGCCAGCCCCGACCUCAACUAUUUUUUAACUUCAGGAAGUAUAUUUUAAAACUAAGGAUAAUGGGGCCUGAGCUUUGGUGAAGCAGGUAAAGCCACUGGCUGCAGUGCAGGCAUCCUAUAUGGGCACCAGUUGAAGUCCUGGCUGCUCUACUUCUGAUCCAGCUCUCUGCUAUGGCCUGGGAAAGCAGUAGAAGAUGGCCCAAGUCCUUUGGCCACUGCUCCUGUCUUGGGGACCGGGAGAAGGCUCCUGGCUUCAGAUUGACCCAGCUCUGGUCAUUGUGGCCAUUUAGGCAGUGAACCAGUGGAUGAAGACCACUCUCUCUUUCUCUGCCUCUGCCUCUGUAAGUCUGCCUUUCAAAUAAAAUAAAUCUUUUUUUUUUCUUUUUCUUUCUUUCUUUCUUUUUUUUUUUUUUUUUGACAGGCAGAGUAGACAGUGAGAGAGAGAGAGAGAAAGCUCUUCCUUCCGUUGGUUCACCCCCCAAUGGCCGCUGCGGCCGGCGCACCGCGCUGAUCCGAAGACAGGAGCCAGGUACUUAUGCUGGUCUCCCAUGCAGGUGCAGGGCCCAAUCACUUACUUGGGCCAUCCUCCACUGUACUCCCUGGCCACAGCAGAGAGCUGGCCUGGAAGAGGGGCAACCAGGACAGAAUCUGGCGCCCCAACCGGGAUUAGAACCCAGGGUGCCAACGCCGCAGGCAGAGGUUUAGCCUAUUGAGCCGUGGCACUGGCCAAUAAAUCUUAAAUAAAUAAAUAAAAACAAGGAUAAGGGCCAGUGUUGUGGCAUAGUAGGUUAAACAUCAACUUAUUUUAAUAUAUUUUUAUUUAUUUGUUUGACAGAGUUACAGACAGUGAGAGAGAGACAGAGAGAAAGGUCUUCCUUCCGUUGGUUCACUCUCCAAAUGGCUGCCACAGUCAGCACUGCGCCGAUCUGAAGCCGGGAGCCAGGUGCUUCCUCCUGGUCUCCCAUGCAGGUGCAGGGCCAAGGCACUUGGGCCAUCCUCUACUUCCCUCCCAGGCCACAGCAGAGAGCUGGACUGGAAGAGGAGCAACCAGGACUAGAGCCCAGCACCCAUAUGGGAUGCCGGUGCUGCAGGCGGAUGAUUAACUAAGUAAGCCAUGGCAUCGGCCCCAAAUCUCCACUUACAAUGCCAGCAUGAUAUAUCAGAAUGCCUGUUUGAGUCCUGACUGUUCUUUUGAUCUAGCCACCUGCAAUGGGAAAGUACUUGGGCCCUCCCACCCAUGAGGGAAACCAGCAUGGAGAUGCAUGGCUCAUGGUUUCAGCCUGGCCCAGACCUGGCUGUUGCAGCCAUUUGGGGAACCAACAGUAGAUGGAAGAUUGCUCUCUUUGUCUCUCAAUUUCUUUCUGCUGCUCUGCCCUUUAAAUAAGUAAAUAAAUCUUAAAAAUAAAACAAGGAUGAGUUUCCUUGUAGCCUUUCUUCAGAAGAUUCCUCAAUGAGGCAGAUAUUGAUUUUUUAAGAUUUAUUUUAUUUAUUUGAAGGGCAGAGUUCCAGGGAAAGAGGGAGAGACAGAGAGAUCUAUCUGCUGGUUUACUUCCCAAGUGGCUGCAACAGUCAGGGUUAGGUCAGGUUGAAGCCAGGAACUGGGAGCUUCCUCUGGGUCUCCCAAUGGGUAGAGGGGCCCAAGCAUUUGGGCCAUCUUCUGAUGCUUUCCCAGGCACAUUAGCAAGGAGCUGGAUCCGAAGUGGAGCAGGGCCGGCACUGUGGUGCAGUGGUUCAGUCCUGGCUGCUCCACUUCCAAUCUAGCCAUGCUAAAGCCAGGAGCCUGGAACUCAAUCAAUAUUCAUCCGUGUGCAGCCAUUACUACAAUCCAGUUUUUUUUUUUUUAAAGAUUUAUUUAUUUACUUGAAAGAGUUACAUAGAAAGGGAAAGAGAGGCAGAGAGAGAGAGAGAGGUCUUCCAUCAGCUGGUUCACUCCCCAGAUGGCUGCAACAGCUGGAGCUGCGCCGAUCUGAAGCCAGGAGCCAGGAGUUUUUUCUGUGUCUCCCACAUGGGUGCAGGGACCCAAGGACUUGGGCCAUCUUCCACUUCUUUCCCAGGCCAUAACAGAGAGUUAGAUUGGAAGUAGAGCAGCUAGUCCUCGAACCGGUGCCCAGAUGGGAUGCCAGCACUGAAGGCAGCGGCUCUACCCGCUACGCCACAGCACCAGCCCCUUGUGUGUGUGUGUGUGUGUGUGUGUUUUAAUUUACUUACUUGAAAGUCAGAGUUACACAGAGAGAGAAGGAGAGGCAGAGAGAAAGAGAGGCCCUCCAUCCGCUGGUUCACUUCCCAGUUGGCUGCAAUGGCCGGAGCUGCAUUGAUCCAUAGCCAGGAGCUGGGAGCUUCUUCCAGGUCUCCCACAUGGGUGCAGGGGCCCAAGGACUUGGGCCAUCUUCUACUGCUUUUCCAGGCCACAGCAGAGGGCUGGAUCAGAGAUGGAGCAGCCAGGACUCAAACCAACACUCAUAUGGCAUGCUGGCACUGCAGGCGGCGGCCCUGUACAAUCCAAUUUUAGAACAUUUCUUUCCACAUUUGUCCAGGGGCAGGCGUUUGGUCUAUUGAUUAAAGUGCCAGUUAGGAUGCCUGUGUCCCACAUUGGAGUGCCUGGGUUUGGUUUCAGCUCUAGCUCCUUACUCCAGCUUUCUGUUAACACAGACCCUGGGAGACAGUAGUGAUGACUCAAAUAGUUGAGUUCCUGCUACCCAUGUGGGAGAUCUACAUUGAAUUUCUAUUUCCCAGUUUUUGACCCAGCCCAGCUGGGCCAUUGCAAGAAUUAGGGGAGUGAACCAGCAGAGGCAAGAUCGCUCUCUAUAUAUUUCUGUGUCUCUGCCUUUCAAAGAAAAUGAAAAUAAAUAAAAAUUAUUUAAAAAUAAAAUCUGGGCCGGCGCCGCGGCUCAGUAGGCUAAUCCUCCGCCUUGCGGUGCCGGCACACCGGGUUCUAGUCCUGGUCGGGGUGCCAGAUUCUGUCCCAGUUGCUCCUCUUCCAGGCCAGUUCUCUGCUGUGGUCAGGGAGUGCAGUGGAGGAUGGCCCAAGUACUUGGGCCCUGCACCCCAUGGGAGACCAGGAAAAGCACCUGGCUCCUGCCUUAGGAUCAGCAUGGUGCGCCGGCCGCAGCCCGCCAACCGCGGCGGCCAUUGGAGGGUGAACCAACGCCAAAAGGAAGACCUUUCUCUCUGUCUCUCUCUCUCACUGUCCACUCUGGCUGUCAAAAUAAAUAAAUAAAUAAAUAAAUAAUUAACUUAAAAAAAAAUACCUAGGCUGGCGCCAUGGCUCACUAGGCUAAUCCUCUGCCUGCGGCGCUGGCACCCGCGGGUUGUAGUCCUGGUUGGGUUGCCGGAUUCUGUCCCAGUUGCUCCUCUUCCAGUCCAGCUCUCUGCUGUGGCCCUGGAGUACAGUGGAGGAUGGCCCAAGUGCUUGGGCCCUGCACCUGCAUGGGAAACCAGGAGAAGCACCUGGCUUCUGGCUUGGGAUGAGCGCGGUGUGCCAGCUGCAGUGCACCGGCCGCAGCGGCCAUUGGGGGGGUGAACCAAUGGAAGGAAGACCUUUCUCUGUCUCUCUCUCUCACUGUCUAACUGCCUGUCAAAAAAAAAAAAAAUUCCUCCACAUUCUGUGUCCAUUUCUACUCUCACCCCAGCCUCAGCAGCCACUGAUCUGGAAUCUGGGGCAGGGGGGAUGCAAACCAGUGCCCAUGUAGAGUGCUGGCCCCUACGUGAGGACUGAUGGACGAGAGUGGACCUUGUUUCUGGCAGGACAUUCCCCCUCAUAGACGUGUGCAUUGGUUGCCUUGUACUCUCUCCAACAGUUCCUGUAGCUCCCAUGGAUGGGAAAUCAUGUGUAAAUACUUGUUGGACAUCCGGCCAAGCACUGCUGGCUGGGUGGUACCCCUUGCAUGUCAUGUAGAAUUUCAGUGUUGUUGACUCUCUUGUGGGACAGAGACAACCUGACUGUCCUUCUCACCCAAGGCAGCCAUGUUGUACAUUACCCACCCUCCAGGAACCUCAGUACAAACAUAAACAGACAAUCCUGGCCUGCAUAGGGAUUUCACUUCAGGUUGGAAAAUGAUGUUUUUCAAAUUCUAGCAUCUGAUUAUUAUUAUAAGCAAGAACAGUGGCCAUGUGUUCCCUUGAAAUACAGUUCCCUUUCAAAAAGCAGGGUGGAUGCCAAGUUCUCAGAGUCAGGGGCUGGCUUAAAAGUAGCAUCAUAUGGUGACAGAUGGGAAUAUUUUUCUGGCUCUCUUUUAUUUUUGAGAACCUUUAGGACUCAUGAAUAGUGUGGAUUCAUUAUGUGUCAAUGACAGUCAUUGUUUCUUUCUCUCUCUCUCUUUCUCUGUUUUGAUUUAUUUAUUUAUUUGAAAGAGUUACAGAGAGUAGUAGACACAGAGAGAGAGGUCUCCCAUCUUCUGGUUCACUCCCCAGAUAGCUGCAAUGACUGGAGCUGAGCCAAUCUGAAGCACAGGAGCCAGGUGCUUCUUCCUGUCUCCCAUGGGGGUGCAGGGGCCCAAGGACAUGGGCCAUCUUCUGCUUUCCCUUCACAGCAGGGAGCUGGAUCGGAAGAGGAGCAGCCGGGACUAGAACUGGGACCCAUGUGGGAUGCCAGUGCCACAGGCAGAGGAUUAACUUACUAUGCCAGGGUGCUGGCCCAAUAUUCAUUGAUUUUUAAAGGCAGAGGUACAGAAGAGGGGAGAGACAGACUCCCAACUACUGGUUCACUUCCCAAGUGGCCACAAUGGCCAGGGCUGCCAGGAGCCAGGAACUCAUCAGGGUCUCCCAGAUGGGUAGCAGGGACCCCAGGAUGGGCCAUCAUCCUCUGCCUCCUAAGGCUAGCACUUAAACCUACAGUCUGAUACGGGACGCAGGCAUUCUAAGCGGAGUCUUAAUCUGCUGUGCCAAAAAACCUGCCUUCUAUGAAAAGUUUAAAAAUAGAACCUUGGGGCCGGCGCCGUGGCUCAAUAGGCUAAUCCUCCACCUAGCGGCGCCGGCACACCAGGUUCUAGUCCCGGUCAGGGCGCCGGAUUCUGUCCCGGUUGCCCCUCUUCCAGGCCAGCUCUCUGCUAUGGCCAGGGAGUGCAGUGGAGGAUGGCCCAGGUGCUUGGGCCCUGCACCCCAUGGGAGACCAGGAAAAGCACCUGGAUCCUGGCUCCUGCCAUCGGAUCAGCGCGGUGCGCCGGCUGCAGCAGCGGCCAUUGGAGGGUGAACCAACGGCAAAGGAAGACCUUUCUCUCUGUCUCUCUCUCUCACUGUCCACUCUGCCUGUAAAAAAAAAAAAAAAAAAAAAAAAAAAUAGAACCUUGGGCUGGCACUGUGGCUUAGGUUAAGCCUCUGCCUUCAGUGCUGGCAUCCCAAAAGGGUGCUGGUUCGAGUCCCUGCUGCUCCACUUCUGAUAUAGCUCCCUGGUAAUGUGCCUGGGAAGACAGUGGAAGAUGGCCCAAGUGCUUGGGUGCCUGUACCCACAUGGGAGACCCAGAGGAAGCUCCAGGUUCCAGCCAUUGUGGCCAUAUGGGGAGUGAACCAGCGGAUGGGAGACUUCUCUCCCUCCUUCUCUCUCUGUACCUCUGUCUUUUUCUUUUCUUUUAAUUUUUAUUUUUGACAGGCAGAGUUAGACAGUGAGAGAGAGAGAGAGAGAGAGAGAGAGGGAAAGGUCUUCCUUCCGUUGGUUCACCCCCAAUGGCCACUGCAGCCCAAGGUGUGCAUUAGCAGGAAAUUGGAUUAGAAAUAGGGCUGGGAUUCAAACCCAGGCACUGUGAUGUAGGAUGCAAUAUAGGAUACGGGCUUCCCAAGCAGCUGCACCAAGGGCCUGUCCCCCCCGCCCCACUGAAUUAGGACCAUACCCUACAGUGUGACAUCAUCUUAAUUAAAAAUAAAUUUAUUUGAGGAUGGGGGAUUGAGAAAGAGAUUGUUCCUAUCUACUGAUUUACUCUCCAAAUGCUUGUAACAGCCAGUGGGGCCUACACUGGUAGCCAGAAACUUAAUUACUUAAGCCAUCACUGCUGCCUCCCAGGGUCCACAUUAGCAGAAAGCUGGAGCCAGAGCCAGGUAUUGAACCUAGGUACUCUGAUGUGGGAUAAGCGCAUCUCGAACACUAGGUUAAAUGCCUGCCCUAUCUUCAUUUUAUUAUAUCUGCAAACACCUUGUUUCCAAAUAAAGUCACAUUCACGGAUACUGGGGUUAGGACUUUAAUAUAUCUUUUAAAAUUUUUAUUUUAUAAAUGUUUAUUGAUUUUAAAGGCAGAGUGACAGAGACACGGAGAGAAUGAUCUUCUAACCUACUGCUCCAGAAUCCUGGCCCCCCAAAUGUCCUUAUAAAACACAGAAGACACAGAGAAAAGAAUGCAGUGUGAAAACAGAGCCUGAGAGAUUGGAGUGAUACAGCCACAAGACUUUCUCAGAAAGUGGCUUUGGAAGUAACAACGAAGACAGGAUAAAGUGAUUAUAGGGUCUGUCUGAGCCUGGCUGCCAUUGAUUCGCCCUUCCCCCCAUUGCUGCUGGUACUUCCUGAAGCCUCAUUUCCCUGUGAUGCCAAGAGUGAUGUAGGGCCUUGUGGUGAGGAGACAGAUGUUCUACUGCCUGUUGCUGGCACUGAGUGGCACUUGCAUGUAUGGCUGCCUCUUACUUGAGGAUGAAGGUCCUGAACACCGAGGGAGGAAGGGUGGCGUCAGCAACCAUUGCAAAGCGGAGUGCAUAGGCCUUGAUAGGCCACAGAAACCUCCGGGAAAAGCGUGUAACAAGCAGAAGGUAGGGUGGCAUGCAGGGAUCCAGCCCCCAGACCCUGUUGGCACCUCCCAUUAUGCCUCACCUAAUGGCUCCUUUGUUGCCUAUUCUGCCUCAGGGUCUUUGCAUUUUCCACCUGAACUGUUCUUUAUUAGGUGUUUGGGGGUGGCCCCUAAGAGAGCCACUUAUACACUCUUUGCCAGCACCUACUUUGACCUUCUGAUCCUGAUGCCUCAGUGUCUGCCCAGGGACCAAGGUGGGUGUGGGUCACCCACCCUCUACCCUGACUUUGAGGAGUAGCAGGGGGUGGGGCUGUGGAAACUGCUCCGCAAAGGACGCGCACACCUCACUCGGUUCGCAGCCAGGCACUAACUUCAGUUUCUAGGGAAGGAAGUGAUCAUCCCGGGCUAGGGCCGUGGGGGAGUGGUGAGAAUGGAAGGGGCGUGUUCCCGCAGGGGGAGGGGUGUGCGCGGAGGUCGCCGCCGCGAAGGGGGCGGGGCUUGGAUUUGGGGGGCCGCGCGCAGCAUUUGGAACAAAGGCAGGGGCGGGGACAAAGUCCCGCGGCCCCCAGUCCCCGCCGGGAACAAAGGCCACACCGGCUCUAGGGCCCGACAGGGUUUUGCUGCACGUGUGAGCACCUGGGGCUGGGGUGGGAGGUGCCGUGCCUGGUUCCCCCUUUCGCCGCCCGGCUCGCCACCUUUGUGCGCUCCCGGGAGACGGCAGGGGGUGUCCACUUCUGGACGCGCCAGCCCUCGCGGCCUUCCGCCCCGUCUCAGUGGUCUGGGAACCGAGACCUCGGGAUCGGAAGGCCACGGAACAGCGUGUUGGGCUCGUGCCCAGCUGUCGAGUUUUCUGUCUUGAGGGGGCGGAUUCCGCUCUCCUUCCCAGCUCCUACCUCCCCUCCCCCAGACCCUGCUUCCUCCCCUCAGGAUUCUUCCUCCCCCCCAACAUCCCGCUUCCCCCUCAGGAAUCCUCCCCCGAUUCUAACCCCCUCAGACUAGACCCUCCGCAGACAGGAUUCCUCCCCCCACACCCUGCUUCCCUCAACAGAGCGGAUCCC